UGGGGAAUCUUCCGCAAUGGGCGAAAGCCUGACGGAGCAAUGCCGCGUGAGUGAAGAAGGCCUUCGGGUUGUAAAACUCUGUCCUUAUCGAAGAGAGGUGGGUAUGUGAAUAAUGUACUCAUAGGACGGUAGAUAAGGAGGAAGCCCCGGCUAACUACGUGCCAGCAGCCGCGGUAAUACGUAGGGGGCGAGCGUUGUCCGGAAUCACUGGGCGUAAAGGGCGCGUAGGCGGUUUAAUAAGUCAGUGGUGAAAACUGAGGGCUCAGCCCUCAGCCUGCCACUGAUACUGUUAGACUUGAGUAUGGAAGAGGAGAAUGGAAUUCCUAGUGUAGCGGUGAAAUGCGUAGAUAUUAGGAGGAACACCAGUGGCGAAGGCGAUUCUCUGGGCCAAGACUGACGCUGAGGCGCGAAAGCGUGGGGAGCAAACAGGAUUAGAUACC
rnacentral:rRNA from 1 species